rnacentral:rRNA from 1 species
AAUAUAGCAGUUCUCGUUAGAUCACCGAAGUCAAGCAUCAUUGGGCGCGGUCAGUACUUGGGUGGGUAACUGCCUGGAACACCGCGUGCCGUU